rnacentral:rRNA from 1 species
ACCGAGAUUCCCCCAGUAGCGGCGAGCGAACGGGGAGGAGCCCAGAGCCUGAAUCAGUGUGUGUGUUAGUGGAAGCGUCUGGAAAGGCGCGCGAUACAGGGUGACAGCCCCGUACACAAAAAUGCACAUACUGUGAGCUCGAUGAGUAGGGCGGGACACGUGGUAUCCUGUCUGAAUAUGGGGGGACCAUCCUCCAAGGCUAAAUACUCCUGACUGACCGAUAGUGAACCAGUACCGUGAGGGAAAGGCGAAAAGAACCCCGGCGAGGGGAGUGAAAAAGAACCUGAAACCGUGUACGUACAAGCAGUGGGAGCCUCUUUUAUGGGGUGACUGCGUACCUUUUGUAUAAUGGGUCAGCGACUUAUAUUCUGUAGCAAGGUUAACCGAAUAGGGGAGCCGAAGGGAAACCGAGUCUUAACUGGGCGUUAAGUUGCAGGGUAUAGACCCGAAACCCGGUGAUCUAGCCAUGGGCAGGUUGAAGGUUGGGUAACACUAACUGGAGGACCGAACCGACUAAUGUUGAAAAAUUAGCGGAUGACUUGUGGCUGGGGGUGAAAGGCCAAUCAAACCGGGAGAUAGCUGGUUCUCCCCGAAAGCUAUUUAGGUAGCGCCUCGUGAAUUCAUCUCCGGGGGUAGAGCACUGUUUCGGCAAGGGGGUCAUCCCGACUUACCAACCCGAUGCAAACUGCGAAUACCGGAGAAUGUUAUCACGGGAGACACACGGCGGGUGCUAACGUCCGUCGUGAAGAGGGAAACAACCCAGACCGCCAGCUAAGGUCCCAAAGUCAUGGUUAAGUGGGAAACGAUGUGGGAAGGCCCAGACAGCCAGGAUGUUGGCUUAGAAGCAGCCAUCAUUUAAAGAAAGCGUAAUAGCUCACUGGUCGAGUCGGCCUGCGCGGAAGAUGUAACGGGGCUAAACCAUGCACCGAAGCUGCGGCAGCGACGCUUAUGCGUUGUUGGGUAGGGGAGCGUUCUGUAAGCCUGCGAAGGUGUGCUGUGAGGCAUGCUGGAGGUAUCAGAAGUGCGAAUGCUGACAUAAGUAACGAUAAAGCGGGUGAAAAGCCCGCUCGCCGGAAGACCAAGGGUUCCUGUCCAACGUUAAUCGGGGCAGGGUGAGUCGACCCCUAAGGCGAGGCCGAAAGGCGUAGUCGAUGGGAAACAGGUUAAUAUUCCUGUACUUGGUGUUACUGCGAAGGGGGGACGGAGAAGGCUAUGUUGGCCGGGCGACGGUUGUCCCGGUUUAAGCGUGUAGGCUGGUUUUCCAGGCAAAUCCGGAAAAUCAAGGCUGAGGCGUGAUGACGAGGCACUACGGUGCUGAAGCAACAAAUGCCCUGCUUCCAGGAAAAGCCUCUAAGCAUCAGGUAACAUCAAAUCGUACCCCAAACCGACACAGGUGGUCAGGUAGAGAAUACCAAGGCGCUUGAGAGAACUCGGGUGAAGGAACUAGGCAAAAUGGUGCCGUAACUUCGGGAGAAGGCACGCUGAUAUGUAGGUGAAGCGACUUGCUCGUGGAGCUGAAAUCAGUCGAAGAUACCAGCUGGCUGCAACUGUUUAUUAAAAACACAGCACUGUGCAAACACGAAAGUGGACGUAUACGGUGUGACGCCUGCCCGGUGCCGGAAGGUUAAUUGAUGGGGUUAGCGGUAACGCGAAGCUCUUGAUCGAAGCCCCGGUAAACGGCGGCCGUAACUAUAACGGUCCUAAGGUAGCGAAAUUCCUUGUCGGGUAAGUUCCGACCUGCACGAAUGGCGUAAUGAUGGCCAGGCUGUCUCCACCCGAGACUCAGUGAAAUUGAACUCGCUGUGAAGAUGCAGUGUACCCGCGGCAAGACGGAAAGACCCCGUGAACCUUUACUAUAGCUUGACACUGAACAUUGAGCCUUGAUGUGUAGGAUAGGUGGGAGGCUUUGAAGUGUGG